CGGCCACACAAGUGACACAUAAAGACAAGGAAAAAAGGAGAAGAAAAAAAAGAAAGACCAAACGGCCGCUGUGUUGAUACACACUACUAUCGUGUUGUAUCAAUUACAGCUGACCGCCAGUCAGGUGGGUCUGCGGGAGAUUUCAGAUCGCAGAGAGGCGAACGGAUGCUGCUCCAAAGACUCCAACCCCAGGCCCCGCUGAGGCCUUGUCCUGGGCAGCACAGAGAGACACCUGGCCAAACCACAGAAACUCUUCCAGCUGCAGACUGCUUGAUGCUCACCGCGUAGAGAAUUCAGGUCAAAGGUGGAGGAAUUCACCAGGCUCUACUGCACUAUCACGGACAUUUGAGUCUAUUUUACAUCGCCUUGAAAGAAGUAUAUAGAAACCUUUGAAACAUUUCCACAUUUUGUUGCGCUUUAAUGGCAAACUUUAAGGGAUUUUACUGGGAUUUUAUGUGAUAGAUCAACACAAACUAGGGCAUAAUUCAAGUUAGAAAGAAAACAAUUAUCAAGGUCCUGGCUUUUAUGAAUAAAAAUCUGAUUGCA